rnacentral:rRNA from 1 species
GCGACCUCAGGUCAGGCGGG